AGGACAAACGCUGGCGGCGUGCAUAAAACAUGCAAGUCGGACGAGCCAAUCCCCGCAAGGGGAAAGGCUAGUGGCGAACGGCUGAGUAACACGUAGGUGAUCUGCCCUGAAGUGGGGGAUAACGACUCGAAAGAGUCGCUAAUACCGCAUGUGACCACCGAUCCGUUUUCGGUGCUCAAAGUCGUAAGACGCUUUAGGAGGAGCCUGCGGCGGAUUAGCUAGUUGGUGAGGUUAAUGGCCCACCAAGGCUUCGAUCCGUAGC
rnacentral:rRNA from 1 species